UACAGAGGUCUCAAGCGUUGUUCGGAUUCAUUGGGCGUAAAGGGUGCGUAGGCGGCGCGGUAAGUCGGGUGUGAAAUCUCGGAGCUUAACUCCGAAACUGCAUUCGAUACUGCCGUGCUUGAGGACUGGAGAGGAGACUGGAAUUUACGGUGUAGCGGUGAAAUGCGUAGAUAUCGUAAGGAAGACCAGUGGCGAAGGCGGGUCUCUGGACAGUUCCUGACGCUGAGGCACGAAGGUCAGGGGAGCGAACGGG
rnacentral:rRNA from 1 species